UGAGCAAUCUGCCCUUCUCAUCGGAAUAAGCGUUGGAAACGACGUCUAAUGCCGAAUACGACCUCCUUUCGCAUGAUCGGAGGUGGAAAGCUCCGGCGGAGAAGGAUGAGCUCGCGGCCUAUCAGCUAGUUGGUGUGGGUAAUGGCCCACCAAGGCGACGUCGGGUAGCCGGCCUGAGAGGGUGACCGGCCACACUGGGACUGAGACACGGCCCAGACUCCUACGGGAGCAG
rnacentral:rRNA from 1 species